AUGCACUUAAGGAGCGGCGCCCGGGCCGCGGCGGGGUAGUGUCAAGAUGUCGGCGGCGGUGCCGGAGCUGAAGCAGAUCAGCCGGGUGGAGGCUAUGCGCUUGGGGCCGGGCUGGAGCCACUCGUGCCACGCCAUGCUCUACGCCGCCAACCCCGGGCAGCUCUUCGGCCGCAUCCCCAUGCGCUUCUCGGUGCUGAUGCAAAUGCGCUUCGACGGGCUGCUGGGGUUUCCCGGGGGCUUCGUGGACCGGCGGUUUUGGUCUCUGGAGGACGGUCUGAACCGGGUGCUGGGCCUGGGCCUGGGCUGCCUGCGCCUCACGGAGGCCGACUACCUGAGCUCUCACCUGACCGAGGGCCCGCACCGCGUUGUGGCGCACCUGUACGCACGGCAGCUGACGCUGGAGCAGCUGCACGCCGUGGAGAUCAGCGCGGUGCAUUCGCGCGACCACGGCCUGGAGGUGGGGCCGCCGCCCGGGCCCCGCCCCCCGCCCCGGGGGUUGGCUCUGGCCCCGUGGAAGGCACCGAUGGGUGCUGGGGCUUGUGCGAGUCCCGCUUUACACCCAAAAGGACCGAGUCGGUGGCUUUCCCAACUUCCUGAGCAAUGCCUUUACCAGCACCGCCAAGUAUCAGCUGCUUUUUGCUCUCAAGGUGCUUAACAUGAUGCCUGAAGAGAAGCUGGCUGAGGCUUUGGCUGCUGCCACGGAGAAGCAGAAGAAAGCCCUGGAGAAGCUCCUCCCAUCUUCCUCCUGAGCACAGGCUGCAGGCAGCUCCAGGACGUGGUAUGGAAGCACUGGUCGAGUGUGCAGCAUGACAACCGCAGAGCCACCACAGACGGGAACGUCACCACGGGCAGUCUCCUAUGGCCCUAUGUCCGGAAGGACUCCUCAG